GAUGAAGAACGUAGCGAAAUGCGAUAAGUAAUGCGAAUUGCAGAAUUUCCGUGAGUCAUCGAAUCUUUGAACGCACAUUGCGCCCACUGGUAUUCCGGUGGGCAUGCCUGUUCGAGCGUCAUUAUCCUCCCUCAAACCCCGGGUUUGGUGUUGGACCCAAGUUGUGUGAACAACUGGUCUCAAAGACAAUGACGGCGUCCGUGGGACCCUCGGUGCAACGAGCUUUUAGGAGCACGCAUCGAGUUGCAAGGACCUUCCGGGUCGGUCUCCUUUACCAUUUUACAAGGUUGACCUCGGAUCAGGUAGGAAUACCCGCUGAACUUAAGCAUAUCAAUAAGCGGAGGA
rnacentral:misc_RNA from 1 species